UAAGGAAUAUUGGUCAAUGGACGCAAGUCUGAACCAGCCAUGCCGCGUGGAGGAUUAAGGCCCUCUGGGUUGUAAACUCCUUUUAUCUGGGAAGAAAUGUACUUUUUCUUGAGUACUUGACGGUACCAGAGGAAUAAGCACCGGCUAACUCCGUGCCAGCAGCCGCGGUAAUCCGGAGGGUGCAAGCGUUAUCCGGAUUCACUGGGUUUAAAGGGUGCGUAGGUGGGCAGGUAAGUCAGUGGUGAAAUCUCCGGGCUUAACCCGGAAACUGCCGUUGAUACUAUUUGUCUUGAAUAUUGUGGAGGUAAGCGGAAUAUGUCAUGUAGCGGUGAAAUGCUUAGAUAUGACAUAGAACACCAAUUGCGAAGGCAGCUUACUACACAAUCAUUGACGCUGAGGCACGAAAGCGUGGGGAUCAAACA
rnacentral:rRNA from 1 species